rnacentral:rRNA from 1 species
AGUGAACGCUGGCGGUAGGCCUAACACAUGCAAGUCGAACGGCAGCACAGUAAGAGCUUGCUCUUACGGGUGGCGAGUGGCGGACGGGUGAGGAAUACAUCGGAAUCUACUUUUUCGUGGGGGAUAACGUAGGGAAACUUACGCUAAUACCGCAUACGACCUACGGGUGAAAGCAGGGGAUCUUCGGACCUUGCGCGAUUGAAUGAGCCGAUGUCGGAUUAGCUAGUUGGCGGGGUAAAGGCCCACCAAGGCGACGAUCCGUAGCUGGUCUGAGAGGAUGAUCAGCCACACUGGAACUGAGACACGGUCCAGACUCCUACGGGAGGCGGCAGUGGGGAAUAUUGGACAAUGGGCGCAAGCCUGAUCCAGCCAUACCGCGUGGGUGAAGAAGGCCUUCGGGUUGUAAAGCCCUUUUGUUGGGAAAGAAAAGCAGCAGGUUAAUACCCCGCUGUUCUGACGGUACCCAAAGAAUAAGCACCGGCGAACUUCGG